AUGGGCGAAAGCCUGAUGGAGCAACGCCGCGUGAGUGAAGAAGGUCUUCGGAUCGUAAAGCUCUGUUGCACGGGACGAAAACUGGGUUUGAAAACAUUGAACCUGGGUGACGGUACCGAGCGAGGAAGCCACGGCUAACUACGUGCCAGCAGCCGCGGUAAUACGUAGGUGGCGAGCGUUGUCCGGAAUUAUUGGGCGUAAAGGGAGCGCAGGCGGACAUAUAAGUCCAUCUUAAAAGUGCGGGGCUCAACCCCGUGAGGGGAUGGAAACUGUAUGCCUUGAGUGCAGGAGAGGAAAGCGGAAUUCCCAGUGUAGCGGUGAAAUGCGUAGAUAUUGGGAGGAACACCAGUGGCGAAGGCGGCUUUCUGGACUGUAACUGACGCUGAGGCUCGAAAGCCAGGGGAGCGAACGGGAUUAGAUACCCCGGUAGUCCUGGCCGUAAACGAUGAAUGCUAGGUGUAGGAGGUAUCGACCCCUCCUGUGCCGGAGUUAACGCAAUAAGCAUUCCGCCUGGGGAGUACGGUCCGCAAGACUGAAAACUCAAAGGAAUUGACGGGGGCCCGCACAAGCGGUGGAGUAUGUGG
rnacentral:rRNA from 1 species